UACAGAGGUCUCAAGCGUUGUUCGGAUUCAUUGGGCGUAAAGAGCUCGUAGGCGGCUUGUCGCGUCGACUGUGAAAACCCGCGGCUCAACCGCGGGCCUGCAGCCGAUACGGGCAGGCUAGAGUUCGGUAGGGGAGACUGGAAUUCCUGGUGUAGCGGUGAAAUGCGCAGAUAUCAGGAGGAACACCGAUGGCGAAGGCAGGUCUCUGGGCCGAUACUGACGCUGAGGAGCGAAAGCGUGGGGAGCGAACAGG
rnacentral:rRNA from 1 species